AAGAGCUCAUCAUUGGAAUCUGGCGGUGUUGCACCGUCCGAGUUGUAGAUGAGGAGUGGUUCGUCUGGACUGCAUGGCGUCCAAGUACAAUAGGCCGUCAGUGGGACAUCAUAGAGGGUGACAAUCCCGUCCUUGAUGCCAAUGUGCAAGUCCAUUACGAUGACCAUCUCAGAGAGUCGAGCAGUUUGGGAUUUGCUGCUUAAACAUGGGAGGUAGAUUCCUUCUAAAGCUAAAUACAGGCAAGAGACCGAUAGAGAACAAGUACCGCAAGGGAAAGAUGAAAUAGCACUCUGUGAAGGGAGUCAAAAGGCGUGAAAUUGUUGCGAGAGAAGCGAUUCAAGUCAGCGUAGCUAGGCCCAUUAAGCCUCUUUGCGCUUUGGACUAGCUUUGCCAGCGGUCUUGUCCUUAGAGACUUGACUUGUAUGUCCAGCCUGGUAUGCACAGGUAGCCCUCCGGGGUCAGUGACAUGGCUGGUGGAAUGGCUUGCAAUCGACCCGUCUUGAAACACGGACCAAGGAGUCUAACAUGUAUGCGAGUAUAAGGGUGGCAAACCCGUAUGCGCAAUGAAAGUGAUUUUCGGUGAUUGAGAAUGGCCUGAUGACCAGACAAGCAAUAUAUGUCCCUCGUACGGCCAUUGCCCAAGUUCCGUGGUAGAUCCCACGAACAUGGAGUUGGAGCAUACAUGCUAGGACCCGAAAGAUGGUGAACUAUGCCUGGACAAAGCGAAGCCAAAGGAAACUCUGGUGGAGGCUUGUAGCGAUUCUGACGUGCAAAUCGAUCGUCUGAUCUGG
rnacentral:rRNA from 1 species